CUCUUGAGAACGAUGGUGGGAGGAAAAGGACCCACGACGAUCGGGAAUCAGCUGAAGCGAUGGUGAGAGAUGUUCUUCAGUCCAAGCCAGGGGGAGAAAAGGUGUUGCAUGAAUAUGACAAAAUGAAGACAUUGACGGAUGGUACCCGGCGACAUAUGAUAAACCUACUGGUGGCUGAGAUGAUUGAAGUUCAUGGGAGGAUCCCACCAACCUAUGUGCGAACAAAAUACGCUCUUGGCAUUAUAACUCUAUUUCCUUACCUCGGGGAUCCUUACUCAAAAA